rnacentral:rRNA from 1 species
AUUGAACGCUGGCGGCAGGCCUAACACAUGCAAGUCGAACGGUAACAGGCCUUCGGGCGCUGACGAGUGGCGGACGGGUGAGUAAGGUAUGGGGAUCUGCCUGAUGGAGGGGGAUAACCACUGGAAACGGUGGCUAAUACCGCGUAAUGUUGCAAGACCAAAGUGGGGGACCUUCGGGCCUCACGCCAUCAGAUGAACCCAUAUGGGAUUAGCUAGUAGGUGGGGUAAAGGCCUACCUAGGCGACGAUCUCUAACUGGUCUGAGAGGAUGACCAGUCACACUGGGACUGAGACACGGCCCAGACUCCUACGGGAGGCAGCAGUGGGGAAUAUUGGACAAUGGGGGCAACCCUGAUCCAGCCAUGCCGCGUGUGUGAAGAAGGCCUUAGGGUUGUAAAGCACUUUCAGUCAGGAGGAAGGGUGCAAGGUUAAUAGCUUUGCACAUUGACGUUACUGACAGAAGAAGCACCGGCUAACUCCGUGCCAGCCGCCGCCGUAACAC